rnacentral:lncRNA from 12 species
AUGCGGGCGCUGAGCGCGCCGGGGACGAGGGCCCUCCGUCGAGCAGGGGGAGGCGCUCCGGAAGGUCCAGGGCCUGAGCUCCCCGCCACAGGGAACUUCCCCGCUCCCAGAGCGCAGCCAGCUGCCCCCGGGCAGGGCCACGCUUCCCAGGCCGGUGUACGCGGCGCCCCCCGCGGAGCGGACGCGGCCCGGGGGCCACGGGGGGUCGCAGCGGGCGCCCGCGGCGGGGCCCGGGCAGCGGGCAGGGCGGGCUCGGAGGCGGGCGGUGGAGCGCCCGCGGGGGCUGGGCCCCGGGCCGGCUGGGCGGGACUCGGCCGCCGCUAUAAGACGGGGCGCCCCUGUCCCCGCCCGCGGGCUGAAGCUGGCGCGCCCGCCCGGACCGGAGGCGCCGGCCUGCGCUGGCAACUCGCGCCCCGGGGCGGCCGCAGAAGACGGGAAGGUCUGACUGCGAGUCCUCCGGGUGCCUGGAGCGCGCCCCGCCACGCGCGUCCCCGCAGCCUCCGGCCAUGCGGCUCCUCGGCAGACUCCGCCCCGCCCCCGCGGAGCCCGCCUGCUCCCACGUGCUCACCCCCGCGCGCAUCCCCGAGUUCUGCAUCCCGCCGCGGCGGCUCCCGCCCUGCGCGCCCGAGUCUCCGCCUCCCGCCGCCGCCCUGCCCGGGCGCUGCGCCGCGGAGCCCGACCUGUGGCCGCGGGGAGCGGACGCUGCGGCCGGACACACGGACUGGGACCCGCGCUCGCAGGCCGCGCUCUCGCUGCCGCACCUGCCCCGCGGCCGCACCGCCUCCGGCUUCUGCGCGCUGCUGGAGAGUCCGCACACGCGCCGCCAGGAGUCGCUCUUCCUCGGCGGCCCCGGCGCCGCCCCGCCCCCGCCCCCGCCCCCGCCCCCGGGCGCAGCCCCGGCCGCCGCCGCCGCCCCCGCGCUCCCCGCCCGCCCCCGCCCCCGCCAAAGCCGGCGCCGCGCGCGCCCGCCCCGCCGGCCCGCCCCACGGGUCUGGCGCCCCCGAAGGAAAGUGGCCGCGCGUAAUCC